AUUGAACGCUGGCGGCAUGCCUUACACAUGCAAGUCGAACGGCAGCGCGGACUUCGGUCUGGCGGCGAGUGGCGAACGGGUGAGUAAUACAUCGGAACGUACCCUGUUGUGGGGGAUAACUAGUCGAAAGAUUAGCUAAUACCGCAUACGACCUGAGGGUGAAAGUGGGGGACCGGAAACGGCCUCAUGCAGCAGGAGCGGCCGAUGUCUGAUUAGCUAGUUGGUGGGGUAAAGGCCCACCAAGGCGACGAUCAGUAGCUGGUCUGAGAGGACGAUCAGCCACACUGGAACUGAGACACGGCCCAGACUCCUACGGGAGGCAGCAGUGGGGAAUUUUGGACAAUGGGGGCAACCCUGAUCCAGCAAUGCCGCGUGUGUGAAGAAGGCCUUCGGGUUGUAAAGCACUUUUGUCCGGAAAGAAAUCGCGCUGGUUAAUACCUGGCGUGGAUGACGGUACCGGAAGAAUAAGCACCGGCUAACUACGUG
rnacentral:rRNA from 1 species